rnacentral:lncRNA from 1 species
UGCUUUUUGAUGGAAACAUUUAUGUUCUCACUGCCUGCUAGGCACUUUAUUAGGAUUGGGAAUACAAAGGAAAAAAAGAAAGAAAUUUUGUCUUUGUGGAUUUUAGAAAGGCUCAGAUAAAUAAGCUUUCAAACAAGUGUGACAGUUUCUAAUUAAAAUUUUCAUUGAUGAAGAAGAAAAGUGGAAGCUGGAAAUUCUCUGCACUCAAGGAGAUAUAAAAACAAGAGAUAAUCAGUCUCACAGAUAAUUGUCAGUGAAAGCAUGGUGUCCAGGGAACUACAGAAGAGCUGAUCAGAAACGCGAUGGAAGGUUUAAAAAGAGGAUUAAAAAGAAGUUUAAAAGUUAUUUCAAAGAAAAUGUAAUCCAAAUAAUACCCUCCAGACAUGGACUUCAGCCAGUUUUAUGCGUCUCUAUACAAGAGGCCAUACUGGGUUUGGAGAAGGGCCAAAAACCACAAAAUUUAUUAGUGUAAUAGAGAGAUUUUGACACAGUGAGGAUGUUUUUUAAAAAUAAAACUCUUGAAUCUAAAGACAAAAACAAG